rnacentral:rRNA from 1 species
ACGCUGGCGGGCGUGCCUUAUACAUGCAAGUCGAACGCUUCUUUCCUCCCCGAGUGCUUGCACUCAUUUGGAAAGAGGAGUGGCGGACGGGUGAGUAACACGUGGGUAACCUACCCAUCAGAGGGGGAUAACACUUGAAAACAGGUGCUAAUACCGCAUAACAGUUUAUGCCGCAUGGCAUAAGAGUGAAAGGCGCUUUCGGGUGUCGCUGAUGGAUGGACCCGCGGUGCAUUAGCUAGUUGGUGAGGUAACGGCUCACCAAGGCCACGAUGCAUAGCCGACCUGAGAGGGUGAUCGGCCACACUGGGACUGAGACACGGCCCAGACUCCUACGGGAGGCAGCAGUAGGGAAUCUUCGGCAAUGGACGAAAGUCUGACCGAGCAACGCCGCGUGAGUGAAGAAGGUUUUCGGAUCGUAAAACUCUGUUGUUAGAGAAGAACAAGGACGUUAGUAACUGAACGUCCCCUGACGGUAUCUAACCAGAAAGCCACGGCUAACUACGUGCCAGCAGCCGCGGUAAUACGUAGGUGGCAAGCGUUGUCCGGAUUUAUUGGGCGUAAAGCGAGCGCAGGCGGUUUCUUAAGUCUGAUGUGAAAGCCCCCGGCUCAACCGGGGAGGGUCAUUGGAAACUGGGAGACUUGAGUGCAGAAGAGGAGAGUGGAAUUCCAUGUGUAGCGGUGAAAUGCGUAGAUAUAUGGAGGAACACCAGUGGCGAAGGCGGCUCUCUGGUCUGUAACUGACGCUGAGGCUCGAAAGCGUGGGGAGCAAACAGGAUGAGAUACCCUGGUAGUCCACGCCGUAAACGAUGAGUGCAAGGUGUUGGAGGGUUUCCGCCCUUCAGUUCUGCAGCAAA